rnacentral:lncRNA from 1 species
UCCUCCCCCUCCCCAGCCGCCUUGUGCAAAGAUGGCUGCACCGUGAGCGCAGAGGAGGAGGAGGCGGCGGCGGCGGCGGCGGCGAGAGAGCGAGCACCCAGCGCCUGCACCCACCCCCGGGGCCGCCCCGGGGACGCCCCCCUCCCGAGCGCGUGCCCCCCCUUCUUCUCUUUGCAAGCGCCGGGGCCAAAGGCGGAGACAGCGGGGGUCCCUCCUCCCCCUCCUCUUAGGGGGGAACCCCCCCCUUCCCCCUUCUUGGCUCAGCAGCCUGCACCCCCCUCCUUUUGCCCGCCCCCUCGGUCCCUGCCCCCCUCCCUUCCCCCCGCCCCGGACCUUCCCGGGCCUUUGGUGGCUGCCAAGAGGAAAAAACAGGAAAGGGGGGAAAAAAAGCAGCGGAGGGAGCGGCGGCGGAGGAAAAGCGCGCGCGCGCCCCCUCCUUCCCCUCCCUCCCCCUCCCCCUCCCCCCAAUUUCCACCGCGGCCAAUUCAUGGACAGGAACUACCCCAGCGCCGGCUUCGGGGACCCGCUCGGCGCCGGGGCGGGAUGGAGUUACGAGAGGUCAGCGAAAGCUAGCUUGGUCUAUGGCAGCUCCAGGACCUCGCACCCCGAAACGGACAUCUUACAUCGACAGGCCUACGCGGCCCCCCACCCACUGCAAAGCUAUGCCACCAACCACCACCCGGCAGGUACGGCCCCCAUCCCGCCCGGUUUAGCUUCUGCCCUCCUUCCCCAACAGCUGGUUGGCUGCUGAAAGUUCCGCCCCUCCUAAUUGGUCGUGCCGAGUGUCGUGGCCCUCCUCUUACUGUCUCUCCUCUGAUUGGUUGCUGGUUGCAGCUUAAUUUCAC